GAAAAAUGCAAGCGUUCCUGGAACAAGAAUGACAACAGACAUAAAAGGACCGAAUUCUUUCCAAGCUGGGGAUUCGAUAAAACGAACAGGUCCUUCAAAAAUUAAUCCUGCAACGAGCAAAAACAAAAACAUCAACGGCGUAAGAGCAAACAGAGAGGUAAAGGGGUUGGAGGUCCAAGGAUGAUCAAGCAAAAGCUUUUGGGUUAAAGCCCAACGCAAACCUGAAAGUACCGAAGACGCCAUGACAAGAAGAAAUCCGCUGAGUACAAAUUGUGUUUCCGUAGCUACCAUAAGUACAACUCCUGCAGAGAUAACAAGGGUAAUACAAAGCAAAAUCCAAUCAAACAUUUCAAUACGAAAUAUGACCGAGAAAAAAAAUACAAAAAUAAGAAUUGAUGAGCGGCACAUGGUAUAAAAAGACAGCGUGAUAGUCUCCAAUGAGGCAUUACUGAGCCCAAUAUCCAAACCAGUUACCAAAGCGCAAAUACCCGCUCGAUAAAAAUACUCUAACCAAGAAAAAUUAUCUUUUUUGUUUGGUUGAUAUCUAGGAAAUGCAAGAAUGGUUAGCUUUGCAAAUCCCAUUUGAACGAGCAUUUGACAACUGCUAAGAAACAGAGGAAAUUGGAAAUCCAUUUUUGAUUCGGAAAAAAUCCACUUGUUCAUCAUAGAAAGAAGUAAAGAAAAGAAAUACCUAAAAACAAUACCAGUUAGUAAACACAAUGACUGAAGGAGGGGAUCAUACCAAGCAAGCACAAUGAGUACUAUUAUGACUACCCUUGUGAUCCAAUGUUGAGGACGGUCAGGCUCAUUCUGUGAUACGGGAGCUACUCCUUGUUCAAUAUCCUUUACAAUAGCCUCCGGGGCCGGAGAUGGAGUGAACUCGGGCUCUCGCUCGACUUUCAAAAUCGGAUCUGUCUCCAUUUAUAAGACUAGCUAACUGUACAAUGUGGAUGAAUUAAGCUUGUUCCUCAACAUAUGCUUUAAUUUCUUUUAUGAAAGAAAGAAAACAACUUUAAGAGGUGCUAGCAUAAAACUCUACAAAGCACGCGUAUGUGUGGUAAAGGGUGGCCGUACACCAGAGGAUGCUAAUAAGUGAAAUAAUUGGAGAGAGUUAAUAAAGAGAUUUCAAAGCAAUUAAUCACAAAAAUAUUUAAGACGCUAUAUUUAAUAGAGGACAGUUGCCUUAAUAUGGAGAUACCUUCGGAAACCUAUGUCUCAGCGAAUUGCUUCAUUUCACAUGCAUCAGGUGGCUCAUUGUGGA